rnacentral:rRNA from 1 species
UACGUAGGGUGCAAGCGUUAAUCGGAAUUACUGGGCGUAAAGCGUGCGCAGGCGGUUAUGUAAGACAGGUGUGAAAUCCCCGGGCUUAACCUGGGAACUGCAUUUGUGACUGCAUAGCUAGAGUACGGUAGAGGGGGAUGGAAUUCCGCGUGUAGCAGUGAAAUGCGUAGAUAUCAAGAGGAACACCAGUGGCGAAGGCGAGUCCCUGGACAACACCUGACACUGAGGCACGAAAGCCGGGGGAGCAAACAGG